rnacentral:rRNA from 1 species
CCCAGACUCCUACGGGAGGCAGCAGUGGGGAAUAUUGGGCAAUGGGCGCAAGCCUGACCCAGCAACGCCGCGUGAAGGAAGAAGGCUUUCGGGUUGUAAACUUCUUUUCUCAGGGACGAAGAAAGUGACGGUACCUGAGGAAUAAGCCACGGCUAACUACGUGCCAGCAGCCGCGGUAAUACGUAGGGGGCAAGCGUUAUCCGGAUUUACUGGGUGUAAAGGGGGCGCAGACGGCAAUGCAAGCCAGGAGUGAAAGCCCGGGGCCCAACCCCGGGACUGCUCUUGGAACUGCAUGGCUGGAGUACAGGAGGGGCAGGCGGAAUUCCUAGUGUAGCGGUGAAAUGCGUAGAUAUUAGGAGGAACACCGGUGGCGAAGGCGGCCUGCUGGACUGUGACUGACGUUGAGGCCCGAAGGCGUGGGGAGCAAACAGGAUUAGAUACCCGUGUA